rnacentral:sRNA from 12 species
AGCCUAAACCUCGCUUCUUGCGCGGCACGGCUCCAAAACUCAGGAAGAUACUGAACCCCGCGUUCAGCACUCUUCCUGAGUCAUAGCUCGAAAGGGCUAUGGGCCGCAAGGCC